rnacentral:guide_RNA from 1 species
CAUUAUCAACUGUAAAAUUAUAUGAUAAAAAU